rnacentral:rRNA from 1 species
GGGGGGGGCAAGCGUUGUUCGGAAUUACUGGGCGUAAAGGGCUCGUAGGCGGCCAACUAAGUCGGAUGUGAAAUCCCCAGGCUUAACCUGGGAACUGCAUCCGAUACUGGAUGGCUUGAAUUCGGGAGAGGGAUGCAGAAUUCCAGGUGUAGCGGUGAAAUGCGUAGAUAUCUGGAGGAAUACCGGUGGCGAAGGCGGCAUCCUGGACCGAGAUUGACGCUGAUGAGCGAAAGCUAGGGGAGCAAACGGGAUUAGAUACCCCGGUAGUCCUAGCCCUAAACGAUGAAUGCUUGGUGUGGCGGGUAUCGAUCCCUGCCGUGCCGAAGCUAACGCAUUAAGCAUUCCGCCUGGGGAGUACGGUCGCAAGGCUG